UACGAAGGGGGCUAGCGUUGUUCGGAAUCACUGGGCGUAAAGGGCGCGUAGGCGGCUUUAUAAGUCGGGGGUGAAAGCCUGUGGCUCAACCACAGAAUUGCCUUCGAUACUGUAGAGCUUGAGACCGGAAGAGGUAGGUGGAACUGCGAGUGUAGAGGUGAAAUUCGUAGAUAUUCGCAAGAACACCAGUGGCGAAGGCGGCUUACUGGUCCGGUUCUGACGCUGAGGCGCGAAAGCGUGGGGAGCGAACAGG
rnacentral:rRNA from 1 species